AUGAACGCUGGCGGCGUGCCUAAUACAUGCAAGUCGAGCGAACAGACGAGGAGCUUGCUCCUCUGACGUUAGCGGCGGACGGGUGAGUAACACGUGGAUAACCUACCUAUAAGACUGGGAUAACUUCGGGAAACCGGAGCUAAUACCGGAUAAUAUAUUGAACCGCAUGGUUCAAUAGUGAAAGACGGUUUUGCUGUCACUUAUAGAUGGAUCCGCGCCGCAUUAGCUAGUUGGUAAGGUAACGGCUUACCAAGGCGACGAUGCGUAGCCGACCUGAGAGGGUGAUCGGCCACCCUGGAACUGAGACACGGUCCAGACUCCUACGGGGGGCAGCAGUAGGGAAUCUUCCGCAAUGGGCGAAUGCCUGACGGAGCAACGCCGCGUGAGUGAUGAAGGUCUUCUGAUCGUAAAACUCUGUUAUUAGGGAAGAACAAAUGUGUAAGUAACUAUGCACGUCUUGACGGUACCUAAUCAGAAAGCCACGGCUAACUACGUG
rnacentral:rRNA from 1 species